AACCCCAUUUUUGAUGACCAGUUAUGACCCCUACCCUAGAGACCAAGCUUUGUGCUUCAGCAACCCCUUGCUGCUAAUCAGAUGUAACUCCGGACAAGUGACUUCAUCUGUUUGGGUUUCAAUUUCAUCAUUUCUAAAAUGGGGAUAAGAACCUCAUAUGAUGGUGAUGUGGCCCUGGUUUCAAAUAGUCUGCCCCUUUGAUUCUGAAGCCUACCUUGGGGACCCGCUUAGUGACUCGGGGCCCAGGGACUCCAGAGAACGACCUUCUAGCAUAGGAGUGAGGAUGGGGAAAGGGCAUGUGUGUGUGAAAGUUCUGGCCCACAGCAGUGCUUGCCCAAGUCAUCUUAAAAAAAAAAAAGCACGGGAAGGGGCCAUAUUUGGGGCUAGGGCACACAGGAUCACCCAGACUUUAAAGCUUAAGCCUUUUGGAGGCCACAUGCCACCCAAACAGACUCAAGUCAACCUUGGAUCCUAAAACUGGCUACGGGGAGGGGAAGUGUGGGGCCCUCUGAGGAAGUAAAAUUUUUAUUUUAUUAAAUUUUAAUGUCUGCAAAUUUAAAUAGUUACAUGGGGCUAGUGCCUGUCAUUGGACAGUACAGGAUUAGAGGCUGUGUUCAGGGCUGAAGCAAAGUCCUUGAGUGCAAGUGCCAAUUCUGCCCCUUUUGGGCUGGUGGCCUUGGGCAGGACUCUUCCCGCCACACUAUGUUCCUUCCCCAGGUUGCUGGGCUGCCUCGAAGGGGAAUGCGGUGUGGGCCAUCUGAAGUUAGAGAAUCAUCUGUUCCUUUGGGUGACUGGGCUUCCCUCAAGAGGUCGGUGGCCUGGGGGGAUACCUACUGCCUGCAUCAGGCCCUGUGCAUGGAGAGCCUGUGGUCCUCAGGGAUGGGAGAGGCACCCACAGGACCCGAGGGCAGCAGGACCACGGGGGAGAUAGGUGCCUGAGUGUUCUGGCCAGCUGUGAAGGCUGAAUCAUCUCUCAUGAACCUUGUAAGACUUCCUAAAAAUGAGGGGAGGGGUUUUAGGAAUGACUUUACUCUUCCAUCCCGUAAUUCUUUCCGUAACUAUUGAUUGAUUGCCUGUGAGUUUGAAGGACUUCGUCCUGUGGGUAGAGUCAAGCGGGGUUCCAGCUUCCUAUGUGCACAGCAGCACUUCACCUUCAAGGUCUGCAGAGAAAGAGCUGCCGCAGGAACAAUACCUUGCUCCCCAAACCAGGCAGUUUGAGAGAGAGAGUGUUUUGUGUCUGGUUAUCUGAUGGCCCUUCACAGGGAAAGACAGGCUCUACUUGGGCGUUU
rnacentral:lncRNA from 1 species